UACGUAGGGUGCAAGCAUUAAUCGGAAUUAUUGGGCGUAAAGGGCGCGUAGGCGGUAAAACAAGUCAGAUGUGAAAUUCCAAAGCUCAACUUUGGAGCUGCAUAUGAAACUGUUUAACUAAGAGGAAUGGCGGAGAAAGCGGAAUUCCACAUGUAGCGGUGAAAUGCGUAGAUAUGUGGAAGAACACCGGUGGCGAAAGCGGCUUUCUAGCUAUUAACUGACGCUGAGGCGCGAGAGCAAGGGGAGCAAACAGG
rnacentral:rRNA from 1 species